UCUAGAAAUUUGCGCAAUGGGCGAAAGCCUGACGCAGCGACGCCGCGUAAGGGAUGAAGUCCUUCGGGAUGUAAACCUUUGUCAGGAGGGACGAAGUCUCGCCGCUUACCACGGCGGGAUGACGGUACCUUCAGAGGAAGCCACGGCUAACUCCGUGCCAGCAGCCGCGGUAAUACGGAGGUGGCAAGCGUUGUCCGGAAUCACUGGGUGUAAAGGGUGUGUAGGCGGCCCGAUAAGUUGAAUGUGAAAUCCCUCGACUUAAUCGAGGAACUGCAUUCAAUACUGCUGGGCUUGAGGACGGGAGAGGAGAGUGGAACUUGCGGUGUAGCGGUAGAAUGCGUAGAUAUCGCAAGGAACGCCAAUGGCGAAGGCAGCUCUCUGGAACGUCCCUGACGCUGAGACACGAAAGCUAGGGGAGCAAACAGGAUUAGAUACCCUGGUAGUCCUAGCCCUAAACGAUGUGCACUAGGUGUUGCUCGUAUGGGCAGUGCCGUAGUUAACAUGCUAAGUGCACCACCUGGGGAGUACGCUCGCAAGGGUG
rnacentral:rRNA from 1 species